UACGUAGGGUGCGAGCGUUAAUCGGAAUUACUGGGCGUAAAGCGUGCGCAGGCGGUUCGCCAAGUCAGGUGUGAAAUCCCCGGGCUUAACCUGGGAAUUGCGCUUGAAACUAGCGGGCUUGAGUGCGGCAGAGGGGGGUGGAAUUCCACGUGUAGCAGUGAAAUGCGUAGAGAUGUGGAGGAACACCGAUGGCGAAGGCAGCCUCCUGGGCUAGUACUGACGCUCAUGCACGAAAGCGUGGGGAGCAAACAGG
rnacentral:rRNA from 1 species